rnacentral:misc_RNA from 1 species
ACUUCUUCCACUCGAGAUUGAAGAUUUUCAAUUUAAACUUUUGUGAAAGCAACUUGUAAAAGUUGAAAAAUAGGCUUCUGAAUCCGCUGCAUAAAUGUGGAGGUCAUGUUCAUCUCUUAUUUUCCUUGUUUUCUUUCAUUUUUUUUUUCGAGGCAGGAUUUCGUGGCCAUUUCAUGUCAUCCUGAUCUGUGGAAAAUGUAACCCAUUAAUGCAAAUUUUUAAUGUAUAAUAUUCACCACAUGUUUGACAUGUAUAUAAAAAUUUCACAAGGC